GUGUUCGUUAAAAGGAGAGAUGGUUGGCAUCUCCCCCGACAGGGACGGGAAAAGCUUUCGAGCUUUCUUCCAUCGAACGGAUACACGUGUGUCCGUAAGGCAUCACAAAUUUUU
rnacentral:ncRNA from 1 species